rnacentral:rRNA from 1 species
CCCCAGGUCAGGCGGGGCUACCCGCUGAAUUUAAGCAUAUCAAUAAGCGGAGGAAAAGAAA